rnacentral:rRNA from 1 species
CAAACGCAGCGUACACAUGCAAGUCGAGCGGUAACAGGGGGAGCUUGCUCCCUGCUGACGAGCGGCGGACGGGUGAGUAAUGCAUAGGAAUCUGCCCAGUAGUUGGGGAUAGCCCGGGGAAACCCGGAUUAAUACCGAAUACGCCCUACGGGGGAAAGCAGGGGAUCUUCGGACCUUGCGCUAUUGGAUGAGCCUAUGUCGGAUUAGCUAGUUGGUGGGGUAAAGGCCUACCAAGGCGACGAUCCGUAGCUGGUCUGAGAGGAUGAUCAGCCACAUCGGGACUGAGACACGGCCCGAACUCCUACGGGAGGCAGCAGUGGGGAAUAUUGGACAAUGGGGGCAACCCUGAUCCAGCCAUGCCGCGUGUGUGAAGAAGGCUUUCGGGUUGUAAAGCACUUUCAGUGAGGAGGAAAACCUUAUGGCUAAUACCCAUGAGGCUUGACGUUACUCACAGAAGAAGCACCGGCUAACUCCGUGCCAGCAGCCGCGGUAAUACGGAGGGUGCAAGCGUUAAUCGGAAUUACUGGGCGUAAAGCGCGCGUAGGUGGUUCGAUAAGCGAGAUGUGAAAGCCCCGGGCUUAACCUGGGAACGGCAUUUCG